rnacentral:rRNA from 1 species
UACGGAGGGUGCGAGCGUUGUCCGGAAUCAUUGGGCGUAAAGAGCGUGUAGGCGGUUUGGUAGGUCCGCUGUGAAAACUCGAGGCUCAACCUCGAGACGCCGGUGGAAACCAUCAGACUAGAGUCCGGAAGAGGAGAGUGGAAUUCCUGGCGUAGCGGUGAAAUGCGCAGAUAUCAGGAAGAACACCCGUGGCUAAGGCGGCUCUCUAGUACGGUACUGACGCUGAGACGCGAAAGCGUGGGGAGCGAACAGG